rnacentral:rRNA from 1 species
UACGUAGGCAGCAAGCGUUGUUCGGAGUUACUGGGCGUAAAGGGUGUGUAGGCGGCUCCGUAAGUUCGGUGUGAAAUCUCCUGGCUCAACUGGGAGGGUGCGCCGAAAACUGCGAAGCUGGAGCGCAGGAGAGGAAAGCAGAAUUCCUGGUGUAGCGGUGAAAUGCGUAGAUAUCAGGAGGAAUACCGGUGGUGAAGGCGGCUUUCUGGACUGCUGCUGACGCUGAUACACGAAAGCGUGGGGAGCAAACAGG